AGAAAUAUUCGAGUUUUUAAAAAUUCAGUUGGAUAGCACAUUUAGAUGUGUCCACACUUUAAACUGCUUUCACCUGAAGAGCGAUGCCCACCAUGGGACGCAGUUCAAUCCUUUGUUCGGCGACGCUUGUAUGAUAGCAACGGAACUUGUGAUCUGUCUGAACCGGUAGAAAUGUAUCCUGCAAGAAUUACAAUUCGGCUAACAAUUUAUAUACAAAUCUCAGCUGGAUGGUCACAUGACGUGUCAAGGGUGUGGAGACAUAAAACUUGCAUCGUUUUGGCACUCCGCUUGAAAGGGAAUCCAAAGGAGCAGGCAUAGGGUGUAGAGAUGGAGUUGUUGUGGAAUGCGGAUCACUGCUCUGAUUUUUUAUCACUAAUGGGCCUUUUGUUUUCUGUUUCUUCCAGUCCAGCUCUCUUGCAGCACCUCACCGUUGUCGCUUGUUUGUCCAUGCAAUUGAUUCUGGUAUGGACACUAUUUAGCUAUCGCUACGUACAUGGAAUGGCGUUGGCGGGCAGUUCGGUGAUGCCAGCUGUUCUAAAUCAGCAUGUAGGUUGUCUGAAGAAAAAAAUGAAGCAGACCACAUGGCUGUCAGGUGUAGACCAAAAAAAAAAAUGCGCACCACGAGUUCGAGCACUAACCUGCACGAGUAGAAUUGUUAGUGGAGGACGGGCAUUUGGUUGCUUGCAACAGUAGUGUGUCGCCGGCAGUGUGGUAUCAGG
rnacentral:lncRNA from 1 species